UACGAAGGGGGCUAGCGUUGCUCGGAAUUAUUGGGCGUAAAGGGCGCGUAGGCGGCUUGGCAAGUGGAAGGUGAAAUCCCUCGGCUCAACUGAGGAACUGCCUUCCAGACUGCUUUGCUUGAGUCCGGGAGAGGUGAGUGGAAUUCCCAGUGUAGCGGUGAAAUGCGUAGAUAUUGGGAGGAACACCAGUGGCGAAGGCGGCUCACUGGACCGGAACUGACGCUGAGGCGCGAAAGCGUGGGGAGCAAACGGG
rnacentral:rRNA from 1 species